GUGCUCCUUUCAGUAGCACUUAUACUAAAGUUGAACCAAUACAGAGAAGAUUAGCAUGGCCCCUGUGCAAGGAUGACACGCAAAUUCAUGAAGCUUUCCAUUAAAAA
ensembl:snRNA U6 U6 spliceosomal RNA